AGGGUGUGGCAUUGAGGGAGAGCAGAGGACAGAGAUCCACACUGGAGACGAGGCUGAUGGGAGCUGUUCAAGGACUGGAUGUGUGGGUAAAUAACAGAGAAAAACCAUCUGUAGUGGAUGCACCUUCUCUGUUUUUAUCAUCAUACAUGAAGACAGAUCCCAGCUCUGGACUGAAAUAAUCUCUUACUUGGUGUUCUCCCUAUCCACCAAGUUGAACAUCACACAUGUUCAACUAAUUGAAACAUAUUAUUUCAAAAGCUGGAGAUGGAGAGGAUUGGAGAAGCCAUGGGUUCUGUGUGCAAAAGUCACAUGAGAUUGGAGAAUUACAGCAAUUCAACUAUCGGCUGAACACGGAGCCUUGGUAAAUGUGACCUGUGCGUCACUGGAUAUCAGGACUGUCUUCAUACCCAACUUGGAAAUGCUUCUGAUCCACUGGAAUAUUUCAGUGUAACAAAUGAAGAAGCUUGGUAAAAUCUCUGCAUACUUCCAAGGAUUUUGACCUCACUUUUCUUUUGCUAGAACAGGGGGAGGUGUUCAAUCCAAAACAAAUUCAACUGAAACCCUCCGGAUUUGACACUUAAACGUUGAAGCAUGGCUAUUUCAAGCAGUGGUUUCAUGAUUCUGAAGUCCAGCAAAACCUUCCUGUUUCCAACCAGAGGAACAGGCAGAGAGAGAGAGAGAGAACAACCAGCCUGGGAUUGGAAGAAAAACAAAUUCUUUGCUAUUUAAUUGGAGGUGUUUCCCCCAAAUCUGCCAGAGAGGCUAUGAAUGGUGCCCGUGUCUCAGACGAAAGACACUCUAAAUUCCUCUUAAUGCUGUGGCCAAAGGAGAGAAGCAAGAGCAAUAUGUACAUGCCAGAAGACAGAAGAGCCAGGACAGCAAAUGAUUCCAAGAGAGGGACCUAGAGGAAAGAGGCCCAGGGAAGAUCUGCUCCAGUUCAGUUCUACUCCUAAUCCCUUUAAACCAGCCUCCAGAAGCCCAGCCCUUCACACCUCAUUGUGCCUCUGGCUCUGUUUUGGAGACCUUCUCUAUCUUCCCAGGGUGGAUAGAGGAGGCCUUGGUAGGGGAAGACUUGAGCUCCCCCUAGAGGUUGGAGAACAUCAGCCGGACUAGAGAAUAUACAAUCUCUCAAACUGAAGGACAUUUUUAAAAGAAAAAUACACCAGUUAAAACAGCUGCUCACAAGUGUGCCUCUUCCUUUGGUCUCUUGAUUCAUGAGCACACAUUUUUAGGUAAUUGCAGUAAUGGCCUAGAUUCAAUUUUGAAUUCUGCUUUUUUUCCCCCACUUAAUAUCGUAUGGUAAAUGUUUUUCCAUGUGGCUACAUAAUCUCUCUAAUUACCAUUUUAAUGACUUCAUAAUACUCCUUCCAGUUCACAUAUUGUAAUUCAUUUAACCAUUCCCUAUUGGUGGACAUUUUAGAUUGUUUCCAGACUUAUACUAAUAUAGACAAUGGUGCAUACAAUAUCUGUUGUUUCCCCUAUUUUGAAUGAGAUUCUUAGAUUAAAGGGUGAGUCAAGGGUAAGGUUGAUUUCGUAGUUCUUGAUAAACUUUAUUCUGCUGAUUCCAUAAGCACCAGUGCCUCUGGCAUGGUAUCAAAAUACUAAUUUAGGUAGCUUUGUCUUAUUUUUUUAACUUCUGCAAAUGUAAUCACAUGACCUGCCACUGCCUUUCACUUUCUACUAAUUCUUCUCUACUUUCUGUACAGCCAAGUCAUUCAUUUAGACUUUGGUUGAUCAUUUAUUCAUUCAUUAUCUUUUGAGAACCUAAUAUUUACGAGGAAUUUGCUCUAGAAUCAUGUCUUCUUGUAACAAUGCAAUUCUGACAGACAACGGAAACAAAGGCUGACUGUGCAUUACGUUAGUGAACUCAUUUUGUAAAACUAAAAAAAUAAAUCAUACUUUGUAAAACCCCAGUUGUUAGAUUUAAGGAAAAUGUGGGUUAGAGAAAAUCUUCUGGCCUAUCCCAUCUCCAUGAAAUGCACAAGUGCUGAAUAAAAGAGAACUGAGACUAACAAAGAAUGUAAAGCUGGCUAAAGCCAAGUAUGGUUGGAUGAGUAGGAGCUCACCAGCAGAACAGAGAUGACAGUGGGGUCUUAGAAUCAGAUCAUUAAUGUUGAAAUCCUAUCUCUGCUCCUUAUAAGCUGUAAAAGCUUAAAUAAGUUAUCUUUUUUCUUUCUCUCUUUUUUAUUGUUUCAUUUUCACUUCAGGUUCCUAUUCAACUUUCAAAACUCAGACAAAAUAUCACCUACAUCUUUCACCUUCCCCAACUUCUUUCCUCCCCAAAGUCCCCUUUAAUUGGUGUUCCCAAUCCACCAGUGACACACCCCUCUUAGACCACCUAUCAGCUGAUGUUGUCUACACCAGAAUGCAGAGUCUUUGGGGCAAGGGCUAUAUUUUCCUCCCCUCGGUGUCUCCAGCCUCUAUCAAGGUACCUGACGCAUGAUAGGUACUUGGCAAAUGUUUGUUGAAUUUAAUGACUUGAAUUGAAUGUUUAAGUAAUUAUGGCACAUCAACAGGAGGAAAUAUGCAGCAAUUAAAAAGAUAAUUAGGAAGACUGCAUAGCUUGGUGGAAAUAUGUUUAUGAUAUGUUUAAUGUGAACAUGCAAAGUGAUGUCUGCAUUAUAAUUCUCACUAUCUAAAAAUUCUCUGUCUAGGUGCUAAAGAGACAAAGAAAAAUAAGAAAAGAUGUUUAUGUCUAAGAGUCUCAUAGCUCCCAAGGUACCUCUUCAUGAAGGAGGUAGGUUUG